rnacentral:misc_RNA from 1 species
UGAUCAGAUAUAUAUGGAAGUUGAGCUUAGACGAUUGUCAUGGCUGGAGCAGCAUUUGUCAGAACUUGGCAAUGCAAGCCCAGCACUGUUAGGCGAUGAACCUGCAGGUUCAGUGUCAUCAAGCAUCAAAGCUCUUAAACAAGAAAGGGAAUAUCUAGCAAAGAGGGUGAGUUUAAAGCUAACAGCAGAGGAAAGAGAAAUGCUUUAUGCAAAAUGGGAAAUCCCACCAGUGGGAAAACAAAGGAGGCUACAACUGGUGAACAAGUUAUGGACUGACCCUCUUAACAUGAAACACGUAGAAGAGAGUGCUCAAAUUGUUGCUAAGCUUGUGGGCUUUUGCGAAACUGGUGAACAUUUUAGCAGGGAGAUGUUUGAGCUGAACUUUGUAAACCCUUGUGAUAAGAAGACAUGGAUGGGCUGGAAUUUGAUAUCGAACCUUCUACAUUUGUAGCUAAAAAUCAAUUUUAGAGUUCAUUCUUUGUAUUGAUAGAUGAGCAUUUUGUCACUACAGCUGGAUGUACAUGUAGUGUACGAUGUACAUGUAGUGUAAGAAUUCUUCAAUGCCUUGUAGUUACUUCCGCAGCAGAUAUGGAGGUAAACUCGUUUCAAG